rnacentral:lncRNA from 1 species
GCAAAAUAAAUAUAAGGUCACCGACUUCGUUUGUACAAUCAAAAUCUGCAACAUAUAAAAAAGAAGAUGUGGUUAUAAUGAUUGCCAAUGAAACAACUCUCCACAAGAGACCAAAAUGACACAGAAAUUAACAACUACAGGUCAGUGUAUGGCCUUCAACAAUGAGCAAAGCACAUACCACAUAAUCAGCUAUAAAAGGCCCAAAAAUGACAAUGUAAAACAAUUCAAACGAGAAAACUAACGGCCUAAUUUAUGUACAAAAAAUGAACAAAAAACAAAUAUGUAACACAUAAACAAAUGAAAACCACUGAAUUACAGAUUCCUGACUUGGGACAGGCACAUACAUAGAGAAUGUGGAGGGGUUAAACAUGUUAGCGGGA